rnacentral:sRNA from 1 species
UGGCGGUCGGGGGUGCUGGUUUGAUUUCCUCUGCAUGCCUGUCUUCCAUCCGCGUUUCAAGAGGGAGUUCAUUCAGGAACCUGCUAAGAAUCGGCCCGGUCCCCAGACACGAUCAGACCUACUGCUGUCAGGAAGGGGUAGGGACCAUCCCAUAUGCCCCUUAAUUAUUAGAGGCAAUAACAACUUCUGCUUUAUCGGGGCCCUCAUUCUCCUCCUUUUCUAACUUGGAUAUAUUUGUUAGUCCCUGGGAUAUAGAUAACUUGUUUUCUCCUUGCUUCUCUAUUCUGCAUCAGGCUAUCCCAUGUCUAUGUAGAAAAAACCUUUGUCUCUCAUUUCUACUCUUGAUUCCCAAACUAAAAAUUGAACAAGUAAAGUGCUGAACCUUAUUCAGUAUUUGUCUUUCUUGGGUGGGGGAGUGCAGACUGGAAUACGCUAAUUGUGGGAAAGCUUUCUCCAUGGAUUCGUCCAGACUCAAAAGUGGAGAAGAUUCGCAGGAAUUCCGAGGCGGCCAUGUUGCAGGAGCUGAAUUUUGGUGCAUAUUUGGGUCUUCCAGCUUUCCUGCUGCCCCUUAAUCAGGAAGAUAACACCAACCUGGCCAGAGUUUUGACCAACCACAUCCACACUGGCCAUCACUCUUCCAUG